UACGUAGGGUGCGAGCGUUGUCCGGAAUUACUGGGCGUAAAGAGCUCGUAGGCGGUUUGUCGCGUCUGCCGUGAAAACCCGGGGCUCAACUCCGGGCUUGCAUUCGAUACGGGCAGGCUAGAGUUCGGUAGGGGAGUCUGGAAUUCCUGGUGUAGCGGUGAAAUGCGCAGAUAUCAGGAGGAACACCGGUGGCGAAGGCGGGACUCUGGGCCGAUACUGACGCUGAGGAGCGAAAGCGUGGGGAGCGAACAGG
rnacentral:rRNA from 1 species